ensembl:lncRNA
GCUAGCUGCCAGCCAAACUGAAGCAUGCUGACGCCUUUAGCCCCCUCAAUCUCCUGUUGUAUUGGAGGCUGGAGGCCAGCCAGUGGUAGGUCAAUAAGAGGCCUGUAGAUCUGAGGAGGGACAAGCGGUUUGUUUGGUGAGGGAUCUGACAGGCUUUAGAACUUCCGUCAGACCAGUGUUACUGCUGGCUGGAGCAAUAACUAACACAGACUAUGUCAACAUUCAAUGGUACACUAUUACAUAUAUAGCCUGUACUGGCUAAACUGUCCAAUAUAAUUGCCCCAAUACAAUUUCCAUCCUAAUCCUUUAGCCACAGUAAGGCAGUGGUGACGUGUUAGUCUUGACGCAUACAAAUCCAUUGUGCAGGGGUUGAUACACACCAGCCCCAAUUAUAUUUGGUGUAAAAUCAGAACAAUUCCUUACUUAACUUGAAAGUGCCUUACUCUUAGACUGCACCUUCUUGCAGUAGGCAGAUCUUGGAUAUCGGCCUUUCCAUAAUGUUGGUACUUGUCUUCAGGUGUACUGCACAUACUAACCCCCUGGAGUCAGUUUCAAUAACUUUUCCAAGUAUCCAUGCACUUCGUGGUGCCAUGGGGUCCACCAGCAGGACCACAUCUCUCCUUCACGGAGGCAGCGUUUCACUUUGCCCCACUUUUGCAUUUCUUGUAAGACUAGCAGGUACUUCUCUGUCCAUCUCUUCCUAAAAGAAUCUGCCAUGUACUGGACUUGUUUCCAACGCCGUCUGAUGUACAGAUCUGUUUUUUCGACAUUAACAGUGAAAUGUGAUUUGGGGUAAGGGCUUCUAGAUCCAGGGGGUCAUUGGUUACCAUGGUGAUUGGGUAGCUGUUUAGAAUGGCCUCUACUUCACACAGAAUGGAGCACCUGGCCAAUCAUCCCAAUGAGCCUUUCCCAGACUCCUCCGUGGUGGGACGCCCCAGGGGGAUUGAAAUUUAUUGUAUUUCUUCCUGAGGUAGAGCAUCUUGGAUCUUGCCUUGGUUUAAAGCAGAUAGAGCUUCUCUAAGGUCUCUCUCAGUACCAAUAAAGUUAGUUCCAUUAUCAGAUCUGACAUGUUUUUUAAAUGUGUUUUUUACAUUUCCUCUUCCCUUUUUGAUUUCUAUAGGACCAAAGUAAUCCACACCUACGUUGGUAAAUGGUGGGAUGUCUGUCAUGAUCCUUUCAAGCGGCAGAUCUUCCAUCUUCUGCUCAGCAAUCUUGCCUCGUUGCCUUCUGCACACAACACACUCUGAGAUGAUCAUAGGGCUCUGGUGAAAAGUAGUGCACUGUGUAGGGAAUAAGGUGCCAUUUGGGAUGCAACUUAAAACGAAUAUCAGGGUGAUAACAGAGAGGUGUGGUGGAUGCUCGAUCCUCAGUCUAACGUCUCUGGAGUAUGGAAGGAAAGGUGGUGGAGGCUCGAUCCUCAGUCUAACGUCUCUGGGAAGGAAAGGUGGUGGAGGCUCGAUCCUCAGUCUAACAUCUCUGGAGUAUAGAAGGAAAGGUGGUGGACGCUCGAUCCUCAGUCUAACAUCUCUGGAGUAUGGAAGGAAAGGUGGUGGAGGCUCGAUCCUCAGUCUAACAUCUCUGGAGUAUGGAAGGAAAGGUGGUGGAGGCUCAAUCCUCAGUCUAACAUCUCUGGAGUAUGGAAGGAAAGGUGGUGGAGGCUCGAUCCUCAGUCUAACGUCUCUGGAGUAUGGAAGGACAGGUGGUGGAGGCUCGAUCCUCAGUCUAACGUCUCUGGAGUAUGGAAGGAAAGGUGGUGGAGGCUCGAUCCUCAGUCUAACGUCUCUGGGAAGGAAAGGUUGUCUGAAAUGUUCUUAGUGAAGGCAAAAGUUGUCCACGAAAUUCCUUUGUAGAAAAAGAAAAUGUACCUGCAAAACUUUUUUAUAUAUUUUUUUAGGUCUCAACAAAAUGUCAUGAAAUGUCGAUGAUAAAUUAAAAACCGUGACAACUUCUGUGACAUUUUGAAAAAUACAAUUAUAGGGACCUGCAAGGGAGUGACAUUUGUCUGAAACCCACUGUGGAUCACCUAUCAUAGAAACCAAUACAGCCGGCCAGGAAGGGAGAUACAAAACAUAUCCAAGAUGGUGAAACCAAUUUACCUGCUAGCCAGCAGUCAGUCAGUCAGUCCAAAAAUAUAAUAAUAAUCAUUUGUAAUAAUUUGGUGGGUGCAUAUUUUUGUCCUAUUUCACACAUAUAAUUAAUAAGCAUGUAUGAAUUGGAACGUGAGAGUGGGGUCACGUCCAGGGUCUGCCAUUAUCAGACCCUGGAAUAAUUAGGAUUAAGUGCUUUCCUCAAGGGCAUAACAGAUUUUUUUCACCUAGUCGACUCAGAGAUUCAAACUAGCGACCUUUCGGUUACUGGCCCUAGUGUCUUUGUGAGACUGGUUACUUUUUAAUAGAGAACUUCUGAAAGGAAGCGUUUCAUCCUGUUUUAUCCAGUGAUGCACUGUACUGUUGUGUUAGCACACUCAAAUACCAUUUAAAAAUGUCUAGCUUUACUCACA